rnacentral:lncRNA from 1 species
CUUAUCCUUAGUUUCUAUACCGGCCUAUACUUCCUAAUAACUGCUAAUUGAUUAUCCCAACUGUCUAUCUGACUCCUCCUAUUAGUUUCUCUCACAUCAAAACUCGACCAACCCACAGAUUUAUCCUCCCUCUUCCUUCUCCAACUCCCAGCUGACUUCCACACAACUCCAACUCUAACUCUAACUCAUCCCCUUGGGUUCCCACUGGCCAAUCACUUCACACUCAUUUAACCCUUUCCUUAUGACCCACCUAGGAGGCAAACACCACAGUAGGGAAGAGGAAAAAUGCGAACGUAGCCACUAGUUCUUCAAACAAGAAGUCUGAAUGGAAACAGUUUGAGAAGAGAAUGAGGCAAAAUCUCUGGUCUGUCAGCCUAGUUAAUAGAGGGGCUCUGCAGUUCCUUCUCUCCCUCCAGCAUGAUGGAAUGGCUACUGCUUGAAGGAGUAGCCUGAUGGCAUGGAUCAAAAUAUAGAAGCUUUCGCUGUGACUGAGAUGUGAACUGGAGCACUGUAAAACCUAUUUGAUAAACAGGCAGAGAAUCUGAAUAUUUGUAUUUGUUUUGCAGUCUGGAAAUAUCUAUGGCAGGGUUCUCCAUAAACAUUACUAAAAUAAAUCUCUCUAGCUCAGCCAUAAGCUCAGCCCUCAAGGCAGGGUGGCAUCUAAUGGCUGCCCAAAUGGAAAGCGCCUUGAGAAACUAAGCCAGUGUUGUACAGUGGUUAGAGUAUCAGAAUACAGUGGUGCCUCGCAAGACGAAAUUAAUCCGUUCCGCGAGAGUCUUCGUCUAGCGGUUUUUUCGUCUUGCGAAGCAACCCUAUUAGCGGCUUAACGGAUUAGCGCUAUUAGCGGUUUAGCGGCUAUUAAAGGCUUAAAGGCUUAGCGGAUUAGCUGCUAAAAGGCUAUUAAAGGCUAUUAAAGGCUUAGCAGAUUAGAUAACGGGGGGGGAAAGCGAAACAAAAAUCUCUAGACUCGCAAGACAUUUUCGUCUUGCGAAGCAAGCCCAUAGGGAAAUUCGUCCUGCGAAGCAACUCAAAAACGGAAAACCCUUUCGUCUAGCGGGUUUUCCGUCUUGCGAGGCAUUCGUCUUGCGGGGCACCACUGUACCACUUGGGAGACCAGAGUUCAAGUCCUCACUCAGCAGUGAAGCCCACGGGGUCACCCUUUACCAGUCACUGACUCCUAGCCUAAACUACCUCACAGGGUUUUUGUGAGGAUAACACAUGAAGGGGGAGAUAUAUGCAGCCUUAAGUUGGGACAGAUAUGUAAUCUGUGUUGUUUUUCUAGAAAAAGAGGUGUCAGAAUUCCUCUCUUAGAAUGGCACUGGCGCCCACCUGAGAGGUGUCGGAACUAAGGUCCUGUGAAUUCCCGGUGAGAAAAGCCCUGCUUUCUCUCCAACCCCCAAGGUUGGCAUGGGCUGUGUUGCAUAGAGCUGCAGUCUUGGGGUAUGGGGUCAAACUGAUCAUAUGCAAGAUCCCUCCACCCAAUUUUAGAUGAUUUCCCCAUUGCAUUGCAAUUCCGAUGACCCUCUGCAGAGAGGAGAAAGGUUGGUUAUGCAAGCUGCCUUCUACUUAUUUAACCAUCAGAUGCAGUCAAGGACAGAUAUAGAACAUCUGCAUUUCUUUUAUCACUCUUGAUAAUUCUUCUUUACAGGACCAUUAUAAUUUGUGUGCUCUGUCCUACAUCAGCCAUUCUUUGUGAGAAGAAAAGCUGUAUGGCGUAAGAAAGGCAUGCCUAAUUUUUUCUGCAAACAGAAACCCCAAGCAACCCAUGUUAUCUAGCUGCUCUGCUAAAAAUUACACUCUUUUCAGCACUGAUCCUGUGUACACGUUGCUUCAUACAACAAAUAUGCUAGUUUGUAUGGCAGGUCGUGUUUUCUGUGUGUGUGGUUUUUUUGUUUUUUUUUUUUUAGAGUUUCCUGCCAGCUGGACUGCUAUUGUAACUGGUCAAAAUAAUGGGGAAAGGAUUGAAAUUCACAAGUUAUUUUUCAUUUAGCUGAACAAUUCACUUGCUAUUCCUUAUCUGAGGCGUAUUCUUAUUUAUCAGGAGGAGUGGGGAAAUAAAUUUGGCUUUCUGGUACAUGCUACAGUUUAAAGCUGCAGUUGACUAAAAGGUAAGCAUCCUGUCCAAUGAAAAGAUUUCCAAAUGGAGCACAACAAAUUCUUAAAAUCUGGUAUGCACCCAACCCAUCUUUCUAGUUCAAAUAUUGUAGAAGAGUAUUCUACUGGUACUUCACUCUUUAGCUGAAAAAGCUCCCGUACUGGCUUACAAAGAGCAGCAGGAGGACAGUCCCUCUAAAAAGACAUGACACACAAGGAAGAAGGGAAGAGGAGGGCCUUAAAAGCAAGCUCAGGCACCAAUUCUUAAACAUCAGUUGUUCUGAUGACCAGGUGGGAUAGAGGUGAAAAACAGCUAUGCUUUAAAGUGAUAUGUAGAGCUUAUGGGAAUGAAGGUGGAGAGAAAGGCUUUUUCAUGCAUUAGCCCAGGGACAAUAUCUGGGUGUGGCUUUUAUUAUUCUUUUUCUUCAGGCUCAUAAUAUGGAGAAUCUACAUUGUAAGACUAUGAACGAAUUAACUGAAGGAUUCACUCGGUGGGCCAAAUGGUUCUCAGUUUUAAGUCUUUGCAAUGACACUUCUGAGCAGACUUUGUUUCUCCUAAUACAGAGUUAACUUACUUCUUGUGAUUUAUUGCUGCCUAGCUCUACACACACACAC